ACAAAUUUUACCAAAAUAUUCUGAUAUUCUUUUUUCUUGGAAUCUCUGUUAAUAGAGAACUUUAAAUUUGCAUGCAGCAUAAUAGAUCUUUCCUACAAUAACUUUUCAGAGAACUCUGUCCCAACAUGUCAAGACAACUUGUAAGAUUAAAUCUUUUUUUUUUUUUUCCUUUUCUGUCUUCUUCUUUUCAUUUACUUUUGCUUGAGACUUACAUAUUUUGCACUCUUUGGCUAUCUAAAUAUGUGAAAGUAACUAGGUUGUUUUCAUCAGUAAUGUGUUCAAAAGUUUUUCCAGGCAGAACAACUCGAUUCUUAGCCAUUGCCUCAAUCCAUGUUCAAAAGUUCUGUUCAUGGAAGAUUUCCCUAUGAGGUACUAAGACCUGACCAUGUCCUAAGGACUCUGCUGCUGAGCCUGCCGUAUCGAAAACUCUUAAGCUGCAAGUUACAUAUAAGUUGAUGGUAACUAAAAAAAUCUGCUUCAAGAUUUAAUUUCUCUGAUGAUGUUCUGGCUUAACAAUAUGAAACAGAUUUUCUCAAAUGGGGACGGGUCCAUGUGGCAAAAACUCUUAGCAAGCUUGGAUUGAAGGACUGUUUUGAAGGAGUUAUAUGUUUUGAGACUCUGAAUCCCAUCAGUGAUAAUGAAGACUCAAAGUCCACAAGCUGCAGAAAGGUCAGCUUCGGCUUUUAUGAACUUGCUGCUGGCAGCACUGAAAAUUGUGGCAGAGUACUACCCAGGAUGGCUAUUCAUGCCUUCAUUUUACAUGUCUUUCUAACUAGUAUUUUGCAAGUCAUGUCCUAGAGUAGCAUUUUGUUUGAAAUUAGCAUUCUCUCUUCAUUUUAUUAUGUAUUUUUGUUGCUAGUAUUUUGCUUAUAGACAAGUAUGGAUCAUAUGUGGGGUUGGAAAAUUUGUGAUUUA